rnacentral:rRNA from 1 species
UGGGGAAUAUUGCACAAUGGGCGCAAGCCUGAUGCAGCAACGCCGCGUGAGGGACGACGGCCUUCGGGUUGUAAACCUCUUUUAGUAGGGAAGAAGCGAAAGGUGACGGUACCUGCAGAAAAAGCACCGGCUAACUACGUGCCAGCAGCCGCGGUAAUACGUAGGGUGCGAGCGUUGUCCGGAAUUAUUGGGCGUAAAGAGCUCGUAGGCGGUCUGUCGCGUCUGCUGUGAAAACCCGAGGCUCAACCUCGGGCCUGCAGUGGGUACGGGCAGACUAGAGUGCGGUAGGGGAGAAUGGAAUUCCUGGUGUAGCGGUGGAAUGCGCAGAUAUCAGGAGGAACACCGAUGGCGAAGGCAGUUCUCUGGGCCGUAACUGACGCUGAGGAGCGAAAGCGUGGGGAGCGAACAGGAUUAGAUACCCUGGUAGUCCACGCCGUAAACGUUGGGCGCUAGAUGUGGGGACCAUUCCACGGUUUCCGUGUCGCAGCUAACGCAUUAAGCGCCCCGCCUGGGGAGUACGGCCGCAAGGC